rnacentral:rRNA from 1 species
GGCCUAACACAUGCAAGUCGAGCGGAAACAAAGAGUAGCUUGCUACUCUGCUGACGAGCGGCGGACGGGUGAGUAAUGCUUGGGAACAUGCCUUGAGGUGGGGGACAACAGUUGGAAACGACUGCUAAUACCGCAUAAUGUCUACGGACCAAAGGGGGCUUCGGCUCUCGCCUUUAGAUUGGCCCAAGUGGGAUUAGCUAGUUGGUGAGGUAAUGGCUCACCAAGGCGACGAUCCCUAGCUGGUUUGAGAGGAUGAUCAGCCACACUGGGACUGAGACACGGCCCAGACUCCUACGGGAGGCAGCAGUGGGGAAUAUUGCACAAUGGGCGCAAGCCUGAUGCAGCCAUGCCGCGUGUGUGAAGAAGGCCUUCGGGUUGUAAAGCACUUUCAGUCAGGAGGAAAGGUUAGUAGUUAAUACCUGCUAGCUGUGACGUUACUGACAGAAGAAGCACCGGCUAACUCCGUGCCAGCAGCCGCGGUAAUACGGAGGGUGCGAGCGUUAAUCGGAAUUACUGGGCGUAAAGCGUACGCAGGCGGUUUGUUAAGCGAGAUGUGAAAGCCCCGGGCUCAACCUGGGAACUGCAUUUCGAACUGGCAAACUAGAGUGUGAUAGAGGGUGGUAGAAUUUCAGGUGUAGCGGUGAAAUGCGUAGAGAUCUGAAGGAAUACCGAUGGCGAAGGCAGCCACCUGGGUCAACACUGAC